GGUUGAUCCUGCCAGCAGUCAUAUGCUUGUCUCAAAGAUUAAGCCAUGCAUGUCCAAGUUCACGCCUUUACACGGCGAAACCGCGAAUGGCUCAUUAAAUCAGCUAUUGUUUCUUAGAUCUUACCAUACUACAUGGAUAACUGCAGUAAUUCUGGAGCUAAUACAUGCCAAUAUGCCUCGGCUUUACCGCUGAGGCGGGUUUAUUAGAUCAAAACCAACCAGCCUUCACGGGCUGUGGGUUUGAUGACUCUGGAUAACCAACCUGAUCGCAUGACCUUGCGUCGGCGACAAUU
rnacentral:rRNA from 1 species